CGUCUUUAUCUAUGGCCUUCACCUUCAGUCAUCUUUGUGUUUAUUACUUGUGAUUGUCAGUUAUAUUUAUUGUUUAUUUUUAAAAUCGUGAGAACACGGUAUAUCGAUUUCUUCAAAAUAUUUUUAGUUGUAUGGAAAUUUAUUAGUCCCUUCCGUUCCUGCCUGAUGCAGUUUGACUAUUGAAGGAGAUACAAAAUCUGUAACCAACUAUUCGAGUGAAAGAUAGUUUAAACUGCAAUGGAAACUGUUACUGCCGCAAGUAGUGAUAAACAGAAAUCCGAAAUUUUCCAAUGCAAAAUAUGUCCC
rnacentral:lncRNA from 1 species